rnacentral:rRNA from 1 species
AACGGACGCUGGCGGCAUGCCUAACACAUGCAAGUCGAACGAAGGCUUCGGCCUUAGUGGCGCACGGGUGCGUAACGCGUGGGAAUCUGCCCUUUGCUUCGGAAUAACAGUUAGAAAUGACUGCUAAUACCGGAUGAUGUCGCAAGGCCAAAGAUUUAUCGGCAAAGGAUGAGCCCGCGUAGGAUUAGCUAGUUGGUGGGGUAAAGGCCUACCAAGGCGACGAUCCUUAGCUGGUCUGAGAGGAUGAUCAGCCACACUGGGACUGAGACACGGCCCAGACUCCUACGGGAGGCAGCAGUGGGGAAUAUUGGACAAUGGGCGAAAGCCUGAUCCAGCAAUGCCGCGUGAGUGAUGAAGGCCUUAGGGUUGUAAAGCUCUUUUACCCGGGAUGAUAAUGACAGUACCGGGAGAAUAAGCUCCGGCUAACUCCGUG